CGGACGGGUGAGUAAUGUCUGGGAAACUGCCUGAUGGAGGGGGGUAACUACUGGAAACGGUAGCUAAUACCGCAUAACGUCGCAAGACCAAGGAGGGGGACCUUCGGGCCUCUUGCCAUCGGAUGUGCCCAGAUGGGAUUAGCUAGUAGGUGGGGUAAAGGCUCACCUAGGCGACGAUCCCUAGCUGGUCUGAGAGGAUGACCAGCCACACUGGAACUGAGACACGGUCCAG
rnacentral:rRNA from 1 species